GCCUGGGUGGCUCAAUCGGUUAAGUGUCUGACUUUAGCUCAGGUCACGAUCUCACAGUUGGUGGGUUCAAGCCCCGCAUCGGGCU
rnacentral:tRNA from 1 species